AAGCAUCGCGCUAUAAUGCAGUCGACGCUUUGUGGUCCAACUGAUUUGAAGAGCUUGCUCAGAUAUGACGAUGGACAUUGCAAAGAGUGGCGAACGGGUGAGUAACACGUGGGAAACCUACCUCUUAGCAGGGGAUAACACUUGGAAACAAGUGCUAAUACCGUAUAACACUAAUAACCGCAUGGUUAUUAGUUAAAAGAUGGUCUUGCUAUCACUAAGAGAUGGUCCCGCGGUGUAUUAGCUGGUUGGUAAGGUAAUGGCUUACCAAGGCAAUGAUACAUAGCCGAGUUGAGAGACUGAUCGGCCACAAUGGGACUGAGACACGGCCCAUACUCCUACGGGAGGCAGCAGUAGGGAAUCUUCCACAAUGGACGAAAGUCUGAUGGAGCAACGCCGCGUGUGUGAUGAAGGGUUUCGGCUCGUAAAACACUGUUGUAAGAGAAGAAUGACAUUGAGAGUAACUGUUCAGUGUGUGACGGUAUCUUACCAGAAAGGAACGGCUAAAUACGUGCCAGCAGCCGCGGUAAUACGUAUGUUCCAAGCGUUAUCCGGAUUUAUUGGGCGUAAAGCGAGCGCAGACGGUUAUUUAAGUCCGAAGUGAAAGCCCACAGCUUAACUGUGGAAGUGCUUUGGAAACUGGAUAACUUGAGUGCAGUAGAGGAGAGUGGAACUCCAUGUGUAGCGGUGAAAUGCGUAGAUAUAUGGAAGAACACCAGUGGCGAAGGCGGCUCUCUGGACUGUAACUGACGUUGAGGCUCGAAAGUGUGGGUAGCAAACAGGAUUAGAUACCCUGGUAGUCCACACCGUAAACGAUGAGUGCUAGAUGUUUGAGGGUUUCCGCCCUUAAGUGUCGCAGCUAACGCAUUAAGCACUCCGCCUGGGGAGUACGACCGCAAGGUUGAAACUCAAAGGAAUUGACGGGGACCCGCACAAGCGGUGGAGCAUGUGGUUUAAUUCGAAGCAACGCGAAGAACCUUACCAGGUCUUGACAUCCUUUGACUACUUCAGAGAUGAAGCUUUCUCUUUCGGGGACUAAAGUGACAGGGUGGUGCAUGAUUGUCGUCAGCUCGUGUCGUGAGAUGUUUGGGUUUAAGUCCUGCACGAGCGCAAACCCUUUAUUACUAGCUGACUAGCAUUCAGUUGGGCCAACUCUAGCUGAGACCUGGACUGGAUGACUAAACCGGAGGCAAGGGGUGGGGGGGAAUUGAACCG
rnacentral:rRNA from 1 species